CGGCCCUCCCUCAGGCAUCUUUGCUUCAUUGGUUGACACCGCGUGUCUGAUUGACAGGAACAACAGGUGAGGCUGUUAGUCUGAGCAGACAGUCAGAACGAAUGUGUGUGUGCUUGAGCAUUUAGGCCUAAAUUAUUUUAUUUUUGGUUCUUGGAAUUUGUUAAUUCAUAUCUUAUUUUUUUUUAAAAGUUUUAUAAAUAGAUUUGGCUCUUCUGAUAUGCGAGCCGGCUCCCAAUGUUCACCUACAAGAGCCAGGUCUUAGAGCCGACUCGUUCGCGAAUGACCCAUCACUAUGCCAGAUGCAGAUAUGUUGAGGGGAAAAGCAGCGUGCUAUUUGGGGAUUGCCAAAGGAUACACACCUUAAGUAAAACAGAGAAAGAAAGGCAAAGGGUUUCAGGAAGGAUGUCAAGGGAUACCCGGUUGGAAAGAGAGACUGUAAAGACCAACGCCAGACAGGAGAAGCAGGUAGCCCGAAGAUUGAAUUGGAGGUACAUAAAGAGCGCAGGGCGAUGAGUCAAAGUCAAAGCCGAAAUUGAGAUUCAAAGAUAAACAGCUGGAUGACAUCUACAACCAGAAGGAAAAGAUAAAACGUGCAGGAAAGGAGUGAUGAUGCAAAGGUUUAUGUGGACCCGCGGAAGAAAGCACCAGUUAAAGGAGUCUACUAAUUCACUUUCAACCACUACAAGAGAAAUGGAACAGCUAUUGCCAAUGGAUAUGAUCACAACUCCAGCGAUGGUGAUGACAUGGCCGCCUCCAACGUUGUUUUAGAGAAUUUGGCAGUACGUCCAACCGGCCCC